GGCGGGGGAGCACUACAACGGGUGGAGCCUGCGGUUUAAUUGGACUCAACGCCGGACAACUCACCGGGGGCGACAGCAAUAUGUAGGUCAAGCUAAAGACUUUACCUGAAUCGCUGAGAGGAGGUGCAUGGCCGUCGUCAGUUCGUACUGUGAAGCAUCCUGUUAAGUCAGGCAACGAGCGAGACCCGUGCCCACUGUUGCCAGCAUAUCCUUUUUGGAUGAUGGGUACUCUGUGGGGACCGCCGAUGCUAAAUCGGAGGAAGGUGCGGGCUACGGUAGGUCAGUAUGCCCCGAAUCUCCCGGGCGACACGCGGGCUACAAUGGUUGGGACAAUGGGCUCCUACACUGAAAAGUGACGGUAAUCUCAUAAACCUAGCCGUAGUUCGAAUUGAGGGCUGAAACCCGCCCUCAUGAAGCUGGAAUCCGUAGUAAUCGCGUUUCAAUAUAGCGCGGUGAAUACGUCCCUGCUCCUUGCACACACCGCCCGUCAAACCACCCGAGUGAGGUAUGGGUGAGGGCGCGGACUUUAGUGCUGCGUUCGAACCUAAAUCUCGCAAGGGGGGUU
rnacentral:rRNA from 1 species